GGCUUAGAAGUGUGGACGCCAGUCUGCAUGGAGCCGACCUUGAAAUACCACCCUUUAAUGUUUGAUGUUCUAACGUUGACCCGUAAUCCGGGUUGCGGACAGUGUCUGGUGGGUAGUUUGACUGGGGCGGUCUCCUCCUAAAGAGUAACGGAGGAGCACGAAGGUUGGCUAAUCCUGGUCGGACAUCAGGAGGUUAGUGCAAUGGCAUAAGCCAGCUUGACUGCGAGCGUGACGGCGCGAGCAGGUGCGAAAGCAGGUCAUAGUGAUCCGGUGGUUCUGAAUGGAAGGGCCAUCGCUCAACGGAUAAAAGGUACUCCGGGGAUAACAGGCUGAUACCGCCCAAGAGUUCAUAUCGACGGCGGUGUUUGGCACCUCGAUGUCGGCUCAUCACAUCCUGGGGCUGAAGUAGGUCCCAAGGGUAUGGCUGUUCGCCAUUUAAAGUGGUACGCGAGCUGGGUUUAGAACGUCGUGAGACAGUUCGGUCCCUAUCUGCCGUGGGCGCUGGAGAACUGAGGGGGGCUGCUCCUAGUACGAGAGGACCGGAGUGGACGCAUCACUGGUGUUCGGGUUGUCAUGCCAAUGGCACUGCCCGGUAGCUAAAUGCGGAAGAGA
rnacentral:rRNA from 1 species